rnacentral:rRNA from 1 species
UACAGAGGUCUCAAGCGUUGUCCGGAAUCAUUGGGCGUAAAGAGCGUGUAGGCGGCUCGGUAAGUCCGCUCUGAAAACCCGGGGCUCAACUCCGGGCCUGCAUUCGAUACGGGCAGACUAGAGUUCGGUAGGGGAGACUGGAAUUCCUGGUGUAGCGGUGAAAUGCGCAGAUAUCAGGAGGAACACCGGUGGCGAAGGCGGGUCUCUGGGCCGAUACUGACGCUGAGGAGCGAAAGCGUGGGGAGCAAACAGG